rnacentral:rRNA from 1 species
AGAGUUUGAUCCUGGCUCAGGAUGAACGCUGGCGGCGUGCCUAACACAUGCAAGUCGAGCGAGAUUUAGUGGAGUGGAGACUUCGGUCAAAGCGAAAUUAAUGAAAGCGGCGGACGGGUGAGUAACGCGUGAGCAAUCUGCCCUAUACAGGGGGAUACCCACUGGAAACGGUGAUUAAUACCCCAUAAGACCCCAGCAUCGCAUGGUGCGGAGGUCAAAGCUCCGGCGGUAUAGGAUGAGCUCGCGUCCCAUUAGCUAGUUGGUAGGGUAAGAGCCUACCAAGGCUACGAUGGUUAGCUGGUCUGAGAGGAUGAUCAGCCACACUGGAACUGAGACACGGUCCAGACUCCUACGGGAGGCAGCAGUGGGGAAUUUUGCGCAAUGGGGGAAACCCUGACGCAGCAACGCCGCGUGAGUGAUGAAGGCUUUCGGGUCGUAAAGCUCUGUUGAGGGGGAAGAAGCUCUGACGGUACCCCUUUAGAAAGCACCGGCUAACCCUGUGCCAGCAGCCGCGGUAA